CUGGUUGAUCCUGCCAGUAGUCAUAUGCUUGUCUCAAAGAUUAAGCCAUGCAUGUCUAAGUUCAAGCGAAAAUAAAGUGAAACCGCGAAUGGCUCAUUACAUCAGUUAUGGUUCCUUAGAUCGCACUUACUACUUGGAUAACUGUGGUAAUUCUAGAGCUAAUACAUGCACUGAGCUCCAACCCUCGUGGAAGGAGCGCUUUUAUUAGAUCAAAGCCAAUCGGGCCUUCGGGUCCGUACCGUUGGUGACUCUGAAUAACUUUGCUGAUCGCAUGGUCUCGUACCGGCGACGUAUCUUUCAAGUGUCUGCCUUAUCAACUGUCGAUGGUAGGUUAUGCGCCUACCAUGGUUGUAACGGGUAACGGGGAAUCAGGGUUCGAUUCCGGAGAGGGAGCCUGAGAAACGGCUACCACAUCCAAGGAAGGCAGCAGGCGCGCAAAUUACCCACUCCCGGCACGGGGAGGUAGUGACGAAAAAUAACGAUACGGAACUCACAUGAGGCUCCGUAAUCGGAAUGAGUACACUUUAAAUCCUUUAACGAGGAUCUAUUGGAGGGCAAGUCUGGUGCCAGCAGCCGCGGUAAUUCCAGCUCCAAUAGCGUAUAUUAAAGUUGUUGCGGUUAAAAAGCUCGUAGUUGGAUCUCGGUUUCGGGCGGGUGGUGCGCCUUGCGGUGUUUACUGUCUGCCCGGACGAUUUUGUUGGUUCGUUCGUGGUUCUCUUAACCGAGUGCCACGGGUGGCCAGCACGUUUACUUUGAAAAAAUUGGAGUGCUCAAAGCAGGCGCUACAGCCUGAACAUUAGUGCAUGGAAUAAUGGAAUAGGACCUCGGUUCUAUUUCGUUGGCUUUCGGAGUCGAGGUAAUGAUUAAUAGGAACAGACGGGGGCAUUCGUACUGCGACGUUAGAGGUGAAAUUCUUGGAUCGUCGCAAGACGAACUACUGCGAAAGCAUUUGCCAAGAAUGUUUUCAUUAAUCAAGAACGAAAGUUAGAGGUUCGAAGGCGAUCAGAUACCGCCCUAGUUCUAACCAUAAACGAUGCCGACCGGCGAUCCGCCGUCGUUAAUUGAAUGACUCGGCGGGCAGCCUCCGGGAAACCAGAGUGUUUGGGUUCCGGGGGAAGUAUGGUUGCAAAGCUGAAACUUAAAGGAAUUGACGGAAGGGCACCACCAGGAGUGGAGCCUGCGGCUUAAUUUGACUCAACACGGGAAAUCUCACCAGGCCCGGACACCGGAAGGAUUGACAGAUUGAGAGCUCUUUCUUGAUUCGGUGGGUGGUGGUGCAUGGCCGUUCUUAGUUGGUGGAGCGAUUUGUCUGGUUAAUUCCGAUAACGAACGAGACUCUGGCCUACUAACUAGAUGUAGGGUCCCUUUGUGGGUCCGUCACUGCUUCUUAGAGGGACGGGCGGCUUUUAGCCGCACGAGAAUGAGCAAUAACAGGUCUGUGAUGCCCUUAGAUGUUCUGGGCUGCACGCGCGCUACACUGAAGGAAUCAGCGUGUGUUCCCUACCCGAAAGGGUUGGGAAACCCGUUGAACCUCCUUCGUGAUGGGGAUUGGGGAUUGCAAUUAUUCCCCAUGAACGAGGAAUUCCCAGUAGGCGCGAGUCAUAAGCUUGCGUCGAUUACGUCCCUGCCCUUUGUACACACCGCCCGUCGCUACUACCGAUCGAGUGAUUUAGUGAGGACUUCGGACUGGUCUUCGUGGUGGCUCUCGAGUCAUGACGGAGUUCCGGAAAGAUGCCCAAACUUGAUCACUUAGAGGAAGUAAAAGUCGUAACAAGGUUUCCGUAGGUGAACCUGCG
rnacentral:rRNA from 1 species